rnacentral:tRNA from 1 species
GUUAAAGUUUUAGGUUAAACUGUAUUAUUUACAUUAAUAUAAAUUCUGUUCAAAUCAGAUAACUUGAU